AGGGCAAGUCUGGUGCCAGCAGCCGCGGUAAUUCCAGCUCCAAUAGCGUAUAUUAAAGUUGUUGCAGUUAAAAAGCUCGUAGUUGAAUUUCGGGGUUAGUAGGUUGGUCAUGCCUCAGGUAUGUACUGAUCUCACUGAUUCCUCCUUCCUGAUGAACCGUAAUGCCAUUAAUUUGGUGUUGCGGGGAAACUGGACUGUUACUUUGAAAAAAUUAGAGUGUUUAAAGCAGGCUAACGCUUGAAUACAUUAGCAUGGAAUAAUGAAAUAGGACGUUCGAUCUUAUUUUGUUGGUUUCUAAGAUUGACGUAAUGAUUAAUAGGGAUAGUUGGGGGCAUUAGUAUUCAAUUGUCAGAGGUGAAAUUCUUGGAUUUAUUGAAGACUAACUACUGCGAAAGCAUUUGCCAAGGAUGUUUUCAUUAAUCAAGAACGAAAGUUAGGGGAUCGAAGACGAUCAGAUACCGUCGUAGUCUUAACCAUAAACUAUGCCGACUAGGGAUCGGAUGAUGUUAAUUUUUUAAUGGCUCAUUCGGCGCCUUACGGGAA
rnacentral:rRNA from 1 species